UAGGACAGGCCUGCCUGGCACAGCCUUAGUAACUGCGAGUGAACAGGGGUGUUCAGAGUUGGCUUCUGGCAUUACUGCUCUUCCCCAAGUCCAGCAAUGAGUACGGCUUCCCAUUCUGGCCCAUAGAGGGUGAAAGGCCCGUGGGGGUAGAGACCAAGUGUGACAGUUCUGCUCAGAGCUCCCCUUAGAGUCGGGUUGUUUGUGAAUGCAGCCCAAAGUGGGUGGUAGACUCCAUCCAAGGCUAAAUACUUACACGAGUCCGAUAGCAAACAAGUACCGUGAGGGAAAGUUGAAAAGUACUUUGAAGAGAGAGUAAACAGUGCGUGAAACCGCUCAAAGGUAAACGGGUGGAGUUGAACUGCAAGCCCUGGGAAUUCAGCUGAUGAGUGUGAUUUGUGCUUGGGCAUACUGGCCGCCUUCAGUGUCCGUUUAACCGCGGGUGCCUGCCUUAUCGGUGGGUGUGUGUGAAUCGUUUGCAAGCGACGCACGCACUGUUGGUGUGAGGGUCUGCUUGUCAGUGCACUUUCUCAGGGUGUUCACCACGACCGGCGCUGCUGCCUGUCUGCUAUGAUCAAACUGGUCGAGUCUGGCAUUGUUGGGCUUGGCUGGGUCGGCAGGUGACUCUUUGGCUCAUUCGUGGGCCGUGAGUGUUACUAGCUGGUUGUAGUGGAUCUGUGCGGUGUGUCGGAGAUGGCGGCUUCGCAUGCGUGCUUAGACCUGCGGACAUUGUUGAGUCUGGUCGGUUUGUUACUGGCUUCGGCUGGUCGGCUGAUGGCUUGAUUUUGUUGCGUUGGCAGUUGCGUGUGUGAACGGCUUGGGCCCAUAGUCUGUGGUGUAGUGGUAGACGAUCCACCUGACCCGUCUUGAAACACGGACCAAGGAGUUUAACAUGUGCGCGAGUCAUUGGGUGUUACGAAACCCAAAGGCGAAGUGAAGGUAAAGGUUCGGCUUGUCCGGGCUGAAGUGAGAUCUUCUUUUUUGUGGUUCACAAAGAACCCAAUUGAACCCCUUUUGUUGCGGUUGGGG
rnacentral:rRNA from 1 species